rnacentral:rRNA from 1 species
GUCGGGAAUAUUGCGCAAUGGAGGGAACUCUGACGCAGUGACGCCGCGUAUAGGAAGAAGGUUUUCGGAUUGUAAACUAUUGUCGUUAGGGAAGAAAAAAGACAGUACCUAAGGAGGAAGCCCCGGCUAACUAUGUGCCAGCAGCCGCGGUAAUACGUAGGGAGCGAGCGUUGUCCGGAAUUACUGGGUGUAAAGGGUGCGUAGGCGGCCUUGUGGGUCAGGCGUGAAAUACAUGGGCUUAACCCAUGGACUGCGCUUGAAACUAUAAGGCUUGAGUGAAGUAGAGGCAGGCGGAAUUCCCGGUGUAGCGGUGAAAUGCGUAGAGAUCGGGAGGAACACCAGUGGCGAAGGCGACCUGCUGGGCUUUAACUGACGCUGAGGCACGAAAGCAUGGGUAGCAAACAGGAUUAGAUACCCUUGUAGUCC